GACGAACGCUGGCGGCGUGCCUAAUACAUGCAAGUAGAACGCUGAAGGAGGAGCUUGCUUCUCUGGAUGAGUUGCGAACGAGUGAGUAACGCGUAGGUAACCUGCCUGGUAGCGGGGGAUAACUAUUGGAAACGAUAGCUAAUACCGCAUAAUAGUAGAUGUUGCAUGACAUUUGCUUAAAAGGUGCAAUUGCAUCACUACCAGAUGGACCUGCGUUGUAUUAGCUAGUUGGUGAGGUAACGGCUCACCAAGGCGACGAUACAUAGCCGACCUGAGAGGGUGAUCGGCCACACUGGGACUGAGACACGGCCCAGACUCCUACGGGAGGCAGCAGUAGGGAAUCUUCGGCAAUGGACGGAAGUCUGACCGAGCAACGCCGCGUGAGUGAAGAAGGUUUUCGGAUCGUAAAGCUCGGUUGUAAGAGAAGAACGAGUGUGAGAGUGGAAAGUUCACACUGUGACGGUAGCUUACCAGAAAGGGACGGCUAACUACGUG
rnacentral:rRNA from 1 species